rnacentral:rRNA from 1 species
GAUGAACGCUGGCGGCGUGCCUAAUACAUGCAAGUCGAGCGAACAGACGAGGAGCUUGCUCCUCUGACGUUAGCGGCGAACGGGUGAGUAACACGUGGAUAACCUACCUAUAAGACUGGGAUAACUUCGGGAAACCGGAGCUAAUACCGGAUAAUAUAUUGAACCGCAUGGUUCAAUAGUGAAAGACGGUUUUGCUGUCACUUAUAGAUGGAUCCGCGCCGCAUUAGCUAGUUGGUAAGGUAACGGCUUACCAAGGCAACGAUGCGUAGCUGACCUGAGAGGGUGAUCGGCCACACUGGAACUGAGACACGGUCCAGACUCCUACGGGAGGCAGCAGUAGGGAAUCUUCCGCAAUGGGCGAAAGCUUGACGGAGCAACGCCGCGUGAGUGAUGAAGGUCUUCGGAUCGUAAAACUCUGUUAUUAGGGAAGAACAAAUGUGUAAGUAACUAUGCACGUCUUGACGGUACCUAAUCAGAAAGCCACGGCUAACUACGUG